CAUUUAUGGCUAAAGUGCAGUUGCAUUUUUGCUUUUCCAGAGCUUUGCUCAUCCAAAAAUGGCAAAGAAGUUAUUGCAUUUGUCUCCUUCUCCAGCGAAUCAACAAAAGAAACGAAUAGUUUGAUCGUUGUUGGUGAAAGACGAAGGUGAUUGUCAACACUCGUCGCCCCCGUCGCUACACGGCAAAAAUUAUCAGGUGGGAUUGACGUCUACCCCUCGUGGCUGAGAGUUCGAGGUUGCUGAUUUGAGUCUUGUUGGGGUGAGCAUGUGGACGCUUCGCUGCGCGGAGACUCUUCUUUUAUUAUGUCUUAUUUUGCUAUUCUGAGACAUAUUAAGACUAUUGAUGCAUUAUUAUUACUUCCAGACUUGUAGAAUUUAGUUAGAUGCUCUUGUAUGACCAGGCCAAAUACUAGGUGGUUUUUGAUGUACUUUCGCGUUAUUUAUAAAUUCAUAUGUCAGACUUACGUUACUUUAA